AGAACGAACGCUGGCGGCAUGCCUAAUACAUGCAAGUCGAACGAACACUUCGGUGUUAGUGGCGCACGGGUGCGUAACGCGUGGGAAUCUGCCCUUGGGUUCGGAAUAACAGUUGGAAACGACUGCUAAUACCGGAUGAUAUCGAAAGAUCAAAGAUUUAUCGCCCAGGGAUGAGCCCGCGUAGGAUUAGCUAGUUGGUGAGGUAAAGGCUCACCAAGGCGACGAUCCUUAGCUGGUCUGAGAGGAUGAUCAGCCACACUGGGACU
rnacentral:rRNA from 1 species